CUACGGGUGGCACCAGUGAGGAAUAUUGCACAAUGGGGGGAACCCUGAUGCAGCAACGCCGCGUGGAGGAUGACGCAUUUCGGUGUGUAAACUCCUUUUAUAUGUCAAGAAAAUGACGGUAGCAUAUGAAUAAGCACCGGCUAACUCCGUGCCAGCAGCCGCGGUAAUACGGAGGGUGGAAGCGUUACGAGGAAUCACUGGGCGUAAAGGACGCGUAGGCGGGUUGGAAAGUCAGGUGUGAAAUCCUACAGCUUAACUGUAGAACUGCACUUGAAACUUCUAAUCUAGAGUAUGGGAGGGGGAGAUGGAAUUAGUGGUGUAGGGGUAAAAUCCGUAGAUAUCACUAGGAAUACCUAAAGCGAAGGCGACCUCCUGGAACAUUACUGACGCUAAGGCGUGAAAGCGUGGGGAGCAAACAGGAUUAGAUACCCUCGUAGUC
rnacentral:rRNA from 1 species